rnacentral:lncRNA from 1 species
GCUUCAAGAGUACUAGCCUCUAGAGCUCGACUAGGCCUGUACCGAUCAGAUUUCUCCAAGAAUCUAACUCUACCCUCUAAAAGCCUUCUCUGGACUUUUGAUUCUCUUUCUUUAAGACCCUUACAAUCCUUGUUAGGAUCAGAUAAGGCUUUAUCUUAAAUCCCAAAGCCUUGUCCUAAAACUAUGAUAGGUUGUAAGAAAGAAGGGAGAGCAACCCGAGAGAA